rnacentral:rRNA from 1 species
UCAGUUCGGAUUGGAGGCUGAAACCCGCCUCCAUGAAGUUGGAUUCGCUAGUAAUCGCGCAUCAGCCAUGGCGCGGUGAAUACGUUCCCGGGCCUUGUACACACCGCCCGUCAAGCCAUGGGAGCCGGGGGUGCCUGAAGUUCGUGACCGCAAGGAGCGACCUAGGGCAAAACUGGUGACUGGGGCUAAGUCGUAACAAGGUACC